AUUGAACGCUGGCGGCAGGCUUAACACAUGCAAGUCGAGCGGGGUGAUGGUGCUUGCACUAUCACUUAGCGGCGGACGGGUGAGUAAUGCUUAGGAAUCUGCCUAUUAGUGGGGGACAACAUCUCGAAAGGGAUGCUAAUACCGCAUACGUCCUACGGGAGAAAGCAGGGGAUCACUUGUGACCUUGCGCUAAUAGAUGAGCCUACGUCGGUUUAGCUAGUUGGUGUGGUAAAGGCCUACCAAGGCGAGGAGCGGUAGCGGGUCUGAGAGGAUGAUCCGCCACACUGGGACUGAGACACGGCCCCGACUCCUACGGUAGGCAGCAGUGGGGAAUAUUGGACAAUGGGGGGAACCCUGAUCCAGCCAUGCCGCGUGUGUGAAGAAGGCCUUAUGGUUGUAAAGCACUUUAAGCGAGGAGGAGGCUCUUUUGGUUAAUACCCAAGAUGAGUGGACGUUACUCGCAGAAUAAGCACCGGCUAACUCUGUGCCAGCCGCCGCAGUAA
rnacentral:rRNA from 1 species